rnacentral:rRNA from 1 species
AUUGAACGCUGGCGGCAGGCCUAACACAUGCAAGUCGAACGAGUGGCGGACGGGUGAGUAAUGUCUGGGAAACUGCCUGAUGGAGGGGGAUAACUACUGGAAACGGUAGCUAAUACCGCAUACCAUCGGAUGUGCCCAGAUGGGAUUAGCUAGUAGGUGGGGUAAUGGCUCACCUAGGCGACGAUCCCUAGCUGGUCUGAGAGGUUGACCAGCCACACUGGAACUGGGACGCGGUGCGGACUCCUACGGGAGGCAGCAGUGGGGAAUAUUGAACAAUGGACGGAAGCCUGAUGCAGCAAUGCCGCGUGUAUGAAGGAGGCCUUCGGGUUGUAAAGUACUUUCAGCGGGGAGGCGUUACCCGCAGAAGAAGCACCGGCUAACUCCGUGCCAGCAGCCGCGGUAAUUC